UACGGAGGGAGCUAGCGUUGUUCGGAAUUACUGGGCGUAAAGCGCACGUAGGCGGCUUUGUAAGUUAGAGGUGAAAGCCCGGGGCUCAACUCCGGAACUGCCUUUAAGACUGCAUCGCUUGAAUCCGGGAGAGGUGAGUGGAAUUCCGAGUGUAGAGGUGAAAUUCGUAGAUAUUCGGAAGAACACCAGUGGCGAAGGCGGCUUUCUGGUCUGUAACUGACGCUGAGGCGCGAAAGCGUGGGGAGCAAACAGG
rnacentral:rRNA from 1 species